UACGGGGGGGGCAAGCGUUGUUCGGAAUUACUGGGCGUAAAGGGCUCGUAGGCGGCCAACUAAGUCAGACGUGAAAUCCCUCGGCUUAACCGGGGAACUGCGUCUGAUACUGGAUGGCUUGAGAUUGGGAGAGGGAUGCGGAAUUCCAGGUGUAGCGGUGAAAUGCGUAGAUAUCUGGAGGAACACCGGUGGCGAAGGCGGCAGCCUGGACCGGCAUUGACGCUGAUGAGCGAAAGCCAGGGGAGCAAACGGG
rnacentral:rRNA from 1 species